UGGAUGUUGGAUAUAUAUGCAUACCUUGUGUUAUUGCACCUCACUUUACUGAGCUUCACAGAUACUGCACUUUUUACAAGACCCUCCAC